CUUCAGGUGGCUCAGUGGUAGAGUGCUUGCCUUGAAUGCAUGAGGCUCUGGGUUCAAUUCCAAUUCCUCAGCA
rfam:Dipodomys ordii contig_39703, whole genome shotgun sequence.